CCUACGGGAGGCAGCAGUCGGGAAUAUUGCGCAAUGAAGGAAACUUUGACGCAGUGACGCCGCGUGCAGGAAGAAGGUUUUCGGAUUGUAAACUGCUUUAGACAGGGAAGAAAAAAGACAGUACCUGUAGAAUAAGCUCCGGCUAACUACGUGCCAGCAGCCGCGGUAAUACGUAGGGAGCAAGCGUUGUCCGGAUUUAUUGGGACUAAAGGGUGCGUAGACGGGAAAACAAGAUAGUUGGGAAAUCCCUCAGCCUAACUGAGGAUACGCAACUAAAACUAUUUUUCUUGAGUUCUGGAGAGGAAAGUGGAAUUCCAAGUGUAGCGGUGAAAUGCGUAGAUAUUAGGAGGAACACCAGAGGCGAAGGCGACUUUCUGG
rnacentral:rRNA from 1 species